rnacentral:rRNA from 1 species
AAACCUGAGAAACCCAAAAGAUCGAAUGGGGAGAUUCAUCGUCAGCGACUCUGGCAAGUGUGCGGUUCGCGAUACUGCGAGACUUCGGUCUCGCGGUACGCGUCCGCAUGUUUUUAGUGUCGGGUGUCGUCGGCGUGCACUUCUCCCCUAGUAGGACGUCGCGACCCGUUGGGUGUCGGUCUACGGCCCGGGUGGGCGCCUGUUCCGUCGUUUCGGCGUUACGGAACAGACCCCCGGUUGCCUGACCGACUGCCCGGCGGUACUCGCACGGUAUCGGGUCGCAAUUGUUGCGUCUGGCCCGCCGCAAGCGCGAUCAGUGAUACUCGGAUGUACGGACCUAGCGCCGUCACCGAGCCUGAUCAGCUGUUGGUCGGCGGUGUCCUGAGACUGGCCCUUUGAUACCGGUCGGCGACGCUACUGCUUUGGGUACUUUCAGGACCCGUCUUGAAACACGGACCAAGGAGUCUAACAUGUGCGCGAGUCAUUGGGACUUUGAAGCCUAAAGGCGCAAUGAAAGUGAAGGUCGGCCUCGCGCCGACCGAGGGAGGAUGGACCGUGUCACGAUACGGUCCCGCACUCCCGGGGCGUCUCGUCUCAU